GAAUGGCAAUAUGCUAAUGGAAUGGAUAUUGCAUGCUUUAAGAACAUUGCUAAUAUUGACAGAAGCUUCUGUUGAAGAAAAUUAAAAGAUGGCUUUUGCAAGACAUAUAUCUUGCAACUUUGUUCAAGACACCGAUUAGGUUAUUUGGUUUCAUAGAAUUUUUUUUUUCUUUUUUUGGGUACAAUUUCAUAGAAGUUUGAUCAUUUCUGUUUCUGUGGUUAGGUUUUAUGGACAUAGUUUCCCCUUCCUUUUCUACUGUUGAUUGUUGCCGUUUGUCAUCUUUCAUUUUUUUUCCCCUGAAAUGUGCACUAAAAUAUGCAAGCCAAUCUGUGUAUUUCGACAAUAUACUUCGCAGUACAGUUCAUCUAACUUCAUUAAUUUCAUCCUUGGCCUUCCUCUCUUCAGAUGGCUUUGUUACCCGAAGGA
rnacentral:misc_RNA from 1 species